rnacentral:rRNA from 1 species
GAGUUUGAUCCUGGCUCAGGAUGAACGCUGGCGGUAUGCCUAACGCAUGCAAGUCGUACGAGAGUUUUUAACUCAAGUGGCGGACGGGUGAGUAACACGUGAGAAUUUGCCUUUAGGAGGGGGAUAACAGAGUGAAAACGCUGCUAAUACCCCAUAUGCUUUCGAGUGAAAUGGAUUUAUUCGCCUGAAGAGAAGCUCGCGGCUGAUUAGCUUGUUGGUAAGGUAAUGGCUUACCAAGGCGACGAUCAGUAUCUGGUUUGAGAGGACGAUCAGACACACUGGAACUGAGACACGGUCCAGACUCCUACGGGAGGCAGCAGUGGGGAAUUUUCCGCAAUGGGCGAAAGCCUGACGGAGCAAUACCGCGUGAGGGAUGACUGCCUAUGGGUUGUAAACCUCUUUUCUCAGGGAGGAAAUCAAUGACGUUACCUGAGGAAUAAGCAUCGGCUAACUCCGUGCCAGCAGCCGCGGUAAGACGGAGGAUGCAAGUGUUAUCCGGAAUCACUGGGCGUAAAGCGUCUGUAGGUGGCUUAACAAGUCAACUGUUAAAUCUUGAAGCUCAACUUCGAAAUCGCAGUCGAAACUGUUAGGCUAGAGUAUAGUAGGGGUAAAGGGAAUUUCCAGUGGAGCGGUGAAAUGCGUAGAGAUUGGAAAGAACACCGAUGGCGAAGGCACUUUACUGGGCUAUUACUGACACUCAGAGACGAAAGCUAGGGUAGCAAAUGGGAUUAGAUACCCCAGUAGUCCUAGCCGUAAACAAUGGAUACUAGAUGUUGGGCAGAUCGACCUGUUCAGUAUCAAAGCUAACGCGUUAAGUAUCCCGCCUGGGAAGUAUGCGCGCAAGCGUGAAACUCAAAGGAAUUGACGGGGGCCCGCACAAGCGGUGGAGCAUGUGGUUUAAUUCGACGCAACGCGCAGAACCUUACCAGCCCUUGACAUGUGGAGUUUGGUUAUCAGAGAUGAUUUCCUUCAGUUCGGCUGGCUCCAACACAGGUGCUGCAUGGCUGUCGUCAGCUCGUGUCGUGAGAUGUUGGGUUAAGUCCCGCAACGAGCGCAACCCUCAUCUUUAGUUGCCAUCAGUUCGGCUGGGCACUCUAGAGAAACUGCCUGGGAUGACCAGGAGGAAGGCGAGGAUGACGUCAAGUCCUCAUGGCCCUUAUGGGCUGGGCUACACACGUGCUACAAUGGCGGUGACAAAGGGACGCAAUAGGGCAACCUGGAGCAAAUCCCUAAAAACCGUCUCAGUUCGGAUUGUUUUCUGCAACUCGAGAGCAUGAAGUUGGAAUCGUUAGUAAUCGUAGAUCAGCAUGCUACGGUGAAUACGUUCCCGGCCCUUGUACACACCGCCCGUCACACCAUGGGAGUUGGUUUUACCCGAAGACGGUAUCCUAACCUUUUAGGAGGGAGCCGGCCACGGUGGGGUCAGCGACUGGGGUGAAGUCGUAACAAGGUAACC